GUGGGUGGAAAACUGGGAGAGCUUCAGAGAGAUAGCGCUGGUUACAAGCGGGUCUCCAAGGAUGACCCAGAGCUGGCCUUGAGGAUGAGCAGGCGGAAAUACAGCACAAGCAGAGACCUGUGGUGGGAGAGCAGGUUGUGUGGCUCCGUCAGGGUCUCUCUGGGAAAACAGACACCUCUUGGAGUUUAUGCAACAGAGGGAAUGUAAAGCAGGGGCGCGGCUAUGCGGACGAGAGAACUCAACGGGAUGACGGGGCAAGGCAGAAACGGGCAUCGGCAGGAAGCCACAGCCACCCCUGCUAGAGGGAAAAAAGAAGAACCCAAACCCAGAGCUGAGACCACAGCGGGCCUGUUCGGGGAGAGCUGGAACUAGAGAAGACACAUGGUUACUGCUGCACAAGUCCCCAGGGCAGCAAGGAGGGGAAGGCCCUGCCCUCUCCUUUCUUCUUAGCCUCCGUCAUUUUCUGGGACAUCUGAAACACUGCCACUGCAGGGGUCCGUGGUGAAGGGUGAAAACAGAGCAGGGAAAGCGCGAGGCUGGAUUCAGGGCAAACAGGCCCAGGACCGGUAAUGCAUCUUUGGGUAACUGAGUUUGCGCAGGGCUGGAGAGGCUGUUUCAUUGCUCCAACAAGACCCAUGGUGUUCCGGGGCCAGCAUCCCCAGGAUGAGCUGAUGGCCAGAGUCUGCGACGAGGAUCCCAGAAGGCAAAGCAGGCUGCUGAAUAAGCACUCGUUGAGUGAGAAACACCUUUCCCAGUGUUCAGACCGCUUCUCAGGAGGAAACAACUGGAGGACCACUUCCUAAUCAACACACUUCUGCGUGGAACUGGCAAACGACCCAUUUGAAACGUGGUUGGGAUGAAUAACUGUUCUUGUAGCCAAAUGCUUUCAAAAUACUUCAAGAAAAACCUGUCCAACGAUGCUGAUUCUAGCCUACCGCAGAAACGCAUUUAUAUUUUAUGCACUUGUUUGUAUUUUCGUCAGCUCCGAUUUCUCUUAAAAAAGCUUAGGAGUCUCUGACGGUCUUUUGUUCUCCUCUCGAGAGUAAAUGUUCCUAAGGAAUUCGCGUGGUACUUCCAUCCUGAUGGCUUAAGGGGUUAGAUAAGAAGCAGAUGCGGGCACAGGGGUGGUGUAGCGACCCAAAGUGGCAAAGGUCAGGAGACCCCUGACUCUCUCCAGCCCCACCCCCGCCUGCGCUGAAGGCAGACACACUUUGUUCAUUCUUCCCACAGCCCCCACAAUGAAGGGUGACGUCUCUGGGAUUGGAAAAGCGCUUGAGACCCUUUGGUGGAGUUUUAUUUUUAUUGCUUAUUUAUUUUGAGAAAGAGAGAAAGAGUGGGGGAAAGAGGCAGAGGGAGAGAUAGAGAAUCUUAAGCAGGCUCUACACUCAGCACAGAGCCCCAUGUGGGGCUCGAUCCCAUGACACUGGGAUCACAACCUCCGCUGAAAUCAAGAGUCAGACGCUCAACCGACUGAGCCAUGCAGGUUCCCCUGGAGUUUCAUUUUUAGAUCAACGUACACAAACUAGGUCAUCCUCGUCCAAUUCCACACUUUCAAAGAGCAUUUCUUACAAUCUUAAGUAUUUUUCCUGAGUAUUGGGUCAAAUUGUCUUCAGUGACAAAGGUGAUGACCUCAGGCUUUUUUUUUUAUGCUUCUCCCUUUUUCACAUCUGGGAAGGGGCAGGUCUCUUCCAUGAGCUCUUGUCCCUCCAUCACUGAUCUUGUGUGUGAGAGCUCAGAGAAGACAGAUCUCUUCCCCAGUGCAGGCCUCUCCCUUAACCUAACAAAGGCUCACCUUGUUGGAGAGCAUAACCCGUGCCAGGCCCUUGGCACACAACAUGUCACUGAAUGAUCUUAGCAACCCCCGAGGUGGGUUCUAUCUUAUUUGUCCUUCACAUGCUGGGAAAUGAAGGUGGAGAGAGGUUAAACGACUUGCCCAAGGCUACUCAUCUUAGAAGGAGAACUCAGAUUUACAUCUAGACAGUCUGAUUCUAGAGUUUGUCCUCUUAAACCCUACACAAUGCUGAUGCUUUACACAUGAGUAUAGGGAGUGCUGAUGCAUAAAACAUAUUGAUAUCUGUGAAGAGUGAAACGUUUGACUUCUUGCUGAUUUGGAUGCCUUUUAUUUCUUUUUGUUGUGUGAUUGCUGGGUUGAGGACUUCCAGUGCUAUGUUGAACAACAGUGGUGAGAGUGGACAUCCCUGUCAUGUUAUCCAAAAUCUAUGAAGAGCUAACCAAACUCAACACCCAAAAAACAAAUAAUCCAGUGAAGAAAUGGGCAGAAGACAUGAAUAGACACUUUUCCAAAGAAGACAUCCAGAUGGCUAACAGACACAUGAAAAGAUGCUCAACAUCACUCAUCAUCAGGGAAAUACAGGUCAAAACCACAGUGAGAUAACACCUCACACCUGUCCAAAUGACUAAAAGUAACAACUCAGGAAACAACAGAUGUUGGCAAGGAUGCAGAGAAAAGGGAACCUUUUUGCACUGUUGGUGGGCAUGAAAACUGGUGCAGCCACUCUGGAAAACAGUAUCAAGUUUCCUCAAAAAAAUAAAAAAUUCUAACCCAUGACCCAGCAAUUGCACUACUAAGUAUUUAUCCAAAGGAUACAAAGAUGCUUAUUCGAAGCAUACCAACAAUAGCCAAGUUAUGGAAAGACGCCAAAUGUCCAUUGACUGAUGAAUGGAUAAAGAAGAUGUCACACACACACACACACACACACACGCACACACACACACCCAUAUAUACACAAUGGAAUAUUACUUGGCAAUCAAAAAGAAUGAAAUCUUGCCAUUUGCAACAACGUGGAUGGAACUAGAGUGUAGUAUGAUAAGUGAAACAAGUCAGGCAGAGAAAGACAGAUAUAUUUCACUCAUAUGGGAUUUGAGAAGCACAACAGAUGAACAUAGGGGAAGGGAAGGAAAAAUAAGAUAAAAACAGAGAGGGAGGCAAACCAUAAGAGACUCUUAAAUACAGGAA